rnacentral:rRNA from 1 species
UACGGGGGGAGCAAGCGUUGUUCGGAUUUACUGGGCGUAAAGGGCGCGUAGGCGGCGCAACAAGCCACUUGUGAAAUCUCCGGGCUUAACCCGGAGCGGCCAAGUGAUACUGUCGUGCUAGAGUGCGGAAGGGGCUACUGGAAUUCUCGGUGUAGCGGUGAAAUGCGUAGAUAUCGAGAGGAACACCUGCGGCGAAGGCGGGUAGCUGGGCCGACACUGACGCUGAGGCGCGAAAGCCAGGGAGCGAACGGG